rnacentral:rRNA from 1 species
UGGGGAAUUUUGGACAAUGGGCGAAAGCCUGAUCCAGCAAUGCCGCGUGUGUGAAGAAGGCCUUCGGGUUGUAAAGCACUUUUGUCCGGAAAGAAAUCCUUGGCUCUAAUACAGUCGGGGGAUGACGGUACCGGAAGAAUAAGCACCGGCUAACUACGUGCCAGCAGCCGCGGUAAUACGUAGGGUGCAAGCGUUAAUCGGAAUUACUGGGCGUAAAGCGUGCGCAGGCGGUUUGCUAAGACCGAUGUGAAAUCCACGGGCUCAACCUGGGAACUGCAUUGGUGACUGGCAGGCUAGAGUAUGGCAGAGGGGGGUAGAAUUCCACGUGUAGCAGUGAAAUGCGUAGAGAUGUGGAGGAAUACCGAUGGCGAAGGCAGCCACCUGGGCCAAUACUGACGCUCAUGCACGAAAGCGUGGGGAGCAAACAGGAUUAGAUACCCUGGUAGUCCACGCCCUAAACGAUGUCAACUAGUUGUUGGGGAUUCAUUUCCUUAGUAACGUAGCUAACGCGUGAAGUUGACCGCCUGGGGAGUACGGUCGCAAGAUUAAAACUUAAAUGAAUUGAC